rnacentral:rRNA from 23 species
GUAGGUGAACCUGCUGCUGGAUCAUUA